GCCUUUGUGGCUUAGUGGCACGGCGUCUGUCUUGUAAUUAACAUGCAAACAGAAGAUCAUCGGUUCGAUUCCGAUCUGAGGCA